AUGCUCACUUCGACAGCACAUAUUGUAAGACUGGAAUGAUACAAAGAAGAUUAACAUGGCCCCUGCACAAGGAUGACACAAAGAAUGUGAAAAUAUGAAAUAAUAAAU